GACGAACGCUGGAGGCGUGCUUAACACAUGCAAGUCGAACGAUGAAGUGGAGCUUGCUCCACGGAUUAGUGGCGAACGGGUGAGUAACACGUGAAUAACCUGCCCUCAAUUUCGGAAUAACCCAGGGAAACCUGGGCUAAUACCGGAUAAGUAAACCUGUGGCAUCACAUGGUUUUGGAAAGUUUUUCGAUUGAGGAUGGAUUCGCGGCCUAUCAGCUUGUUGGUGAGGUAAUGGCUCAUCAAGGCGACGAUCAGUAUCUGGUUUGAGAGGAUGAUCAGACACACUGGAACUGAGACACGGUCCAGACUCCUACGGGAGGCAGCAGUGGGAAUUUUCCGCAAUGGGCGAAAGCCUGACGGAGCAAUCUCGCUGGGGGAUGACGGCCUAUGGGUUGGUAAAACCUCUUUUUUUCAGGGAGGAACGAAAAUGACGUGUACCUGAAGAAUAAGCAUCGGCUAACUCCGUG
rnacentral:rRNA from 1 species